UACGAAGGGGGCUAGCGUUGCUCGGAAUCACUGGGCGUAAAGGGUGCGCAGGCGGCUUUGCAAGACAGAUGUGAAAUCCCCGGGCUCAACCUGGGAACUGCAUUUGCGACUGCAUGGCUAGAGUACGGUAGAGGGGGAUGGAAUUCCGCGUGUAGCAGUGAAAUGCGUAGAUAUGCGGAGGAACACCGAUGGCGAAGGCAAUCCCCUGGACCUGUACUGACGCUCAUGCACGAAAGCGUGGGGAGCAAACAGG
rnacentral:rRNA from 1 species